rnacentral:lncRNA from 1 species
GGUAUCCAUUAUUAUCUAUUUAAUAGAUUGUUGAAAUAGAUUAUUUUCAUAAAUAACUCUAGAUUUUCCUAUAUUUCCUUAUUCAUCUCUGUCUGUGGCUGAACCUAUGAAUUAGUCUCAUCAUAUAAAUCAGAAAUGAACUGCUGAUGUUUACUUUUCUAGUUGACUUUUUAUCACAUGUGAUUGCCCUUCCUUUUUUCUAUCCUGUGCUCUAACAUAAAAGAAUGGGUUUUAUUUAAACUAGUUAGAAUACAUCUGCCUAAAAUUAUUUUUUUGUAAAUAAAAUGUCUUUGCUAGCCUUAAGGUUAAUUAAGUAAUUUGGUACUUACUUUCUCCACAAUUUGAAUAUAAUUGCUUCUUUUGUGACUAUCAGUUGAAAGCAUAGAGAUUAAAUGUAAUAAGCAACAUAGAAUUUUAUUUCCAUCUCUAGUACUGAAAUAACUUUACACAAAUGCUUUAAAAGAUCACUAAAAAAUAGUCCAGAUAAUGAAGAAGAAUUAACUCAUGAGCAUGUUAGGAAAAUUUUUAUUUCUUGCUAAGUUUAUAAGAAAUAUUGACAUAAAUGAAAAGAACAUAAAUGUCAGGAAAUGCCUUAUAAUGAGGACUUGAUGGAAAACUCAAUAAAAA